UGGGGGUGGGGGGGUGACAG
rnacentral:miRNA from 1 species